GACCCCUUUGCCGCAGCGGUUAGCGCAUGCGGCAUGAAAUGCAUCGGCGAUUAUCUUUCUUUGCGCACGGUGCUGGUUCGAGUCCGGCAGGGGUCA